AAGAUUUACCAGAGAACAUCACGGUUCUCUACAUAUGAAAUGAAAUGUCUGUACAAACCUUUGCCAGUUUGCAUGUGAAAGUCAGCAGCAGUGUCCGGUGGGUCAGCAUGACGUACUGAUCCCCCUCAGUUUACAAAACACAUCGAGGAGUCCAGUGUAGAUCGUCAAAAAAAACUUUAGGAUGAUCGACUGGACACUUUUCAAAAGACCAGCAGGGGGCUCCAUACAUUUCAGUUUGUGCCAGAGGCUGGAUGCUACCAAGUUGUUAAUGAUACGCACCCUGCCUCUGUAUGUAUGUGGGGAAGCAGCCACCUCCACCAGGUAUUUUAACCCCCCCUCUUCCAUGUCUACCCACCUGGAAGCUGAGGGACACCUCCAGCCCAUCUCCCCGUGCGCACGAGUCAGCAUGGUGAAGUCCAUGCUGGUGGCUUUGAUGUGUGAUGACACCAACCACCCUCACCCGCGACAAAGACGCAAUAAAUCUAAAAAGAUUAUUGAUAUAAGUAUCUGCAUGCAUUAUAGUUAUGUAGCAACAAUCAACUGUGCUGGACACUGCGCAGCAUUUGAUUAAACAUAAUAAUAUAACUGUAAUAACCUGAGAGCAGAGAAUUAUGGCAAAACAUCACAGUCUAGAAAGAAAAAUCAUCUUCAACAUCAUCAACUUUCUACACUUUUACGCACAACUACGGAAAAUGACUGGAAAAUAGGUUGACAAUCAAAUCUUAAAAAGACAACCAAAGCUGAAAGCACCACAUGGAUUUACUUUGCUACGCAGACGACACCCAGCUGUAUGUAUCUAUGAAGCCAGAUGAAACUGAUCCUAAUCCGAUGGCCGAACCACCUCAGCGGCUCUACUCCAAGCUUCCUCCUGAAGUAUGAAGCUCUUCCUCUCGCUCUGAGACCCUCAGGAGACCACGUUUCUCUAGACCCCAACCCAAAUACAGAGACAUGACAGUUCAGAAAACAGCGUAUGGAGGAGGCCGACUGUCACCUGGUUACUGAAGAGCAGGUCGAUUCGGUCAUCUUUCCUCUAAUAUUACACACUGUAGCUUUAAACUGCGUGACAUUUUUAUGAUGUUACUUUAAACUGUGAUUCUGCCUUUGAUUUAAAAUGAGUUUGACCUUCUCCCCCUUUUGUCUCAAAUCAGACAGAUGAUGAUGUAUGCGUGAAUGUACAAGCAGGACUUUUUCAUCUGGUGCAUGUGUUUCUGAUGUGAUGUUGUGAGUUCCGUGGACGCAGGACGCCACCAGGUGGAGCUGCAACACCAGGCAACAGAGCAGCUCUGAUUCCAGAUCACUUCAACUCUGCUGGAGCCGGUUCACUCUUCUACAAGAUCUGAAAUAAAGUCUCACUCUUUGAAUUCAAAGGUUAAAAAAACAAUCACUGCAAAACUCAUCUAAAUAUGAUUUUUUUAAUAAACCAAAUAUAAAAACUUAAA